rnacentral:rRNA from 1 species
UACGAAGGGGGCUAGCGUUGCUCGGAAUUACUGGGCGUAAAGGGCGCGUAGGCGGCCAUUCAAGUCGGAGGUGAAAGCCCAGGGCUCAACCCUGGAAUUGCCUUCGAUACUGUUUGGCUAGAGACCGGAAGAGGUAAGUGGAACUGCGAGUGUAGAGGUGAAAUUCGUAGAUAUUCGCAAGAACACCAGUGGCGAAGGCGGCUUACUGGUCCGGUUCUGACGCUGAGGCGCGAAGGCCAGGGGAGCAAACGGG